GAUGAACGCUGGCGGCGUGCCUAAUACAUGCAAGUCGAGCGAACGGACGAGAAGCUUGCUUUUCUGAUGUUAGCGGCGGACGGGUGAGUAACACGUGGAUAACCUACCUAUAAGACUGGGAUAACUUCGGGAAACCGGAGCUAAUACCGGAUAAUAUUUUGAACCGCAUGGUUCAAAAGUGAAAGACGGUCUUGCUGUCACUUAUAGAUGGAUCCGCGCUGCAUUAGCUAGUUGGUAAGGUAACGGCUUACCAAGGCAACGAUGCAUAGCCGACCUGAGAGGGUGAUCGGGCACGCUGGAGCUGAGACACGGUCCAGACUGCUACGGGAGGCAGCAGUAGCGAAUCUGCCGCAAUGGGCGAGAGCCUGACGGAGCAACGCCGCGUGAGUGAUGAAGGUCUUCGGAUCGUAAAACUCUGUUAUUAGGGAAGAACAUAUGUGUAAGUAACUGUGCACAUCUUGACGGUACCUAAUCAGAAAGCCACGGCUAACUACGUG
rnacentral:rRNA from 1 species